GAUGAACGCUAGCGGCAGGCCUAACACAUGCAAGUCGAGGGGUAGAGGAAGCUUGCUUCCUUGAGACCGGCGCACGGGUGCGUAACGCGUAUGCAAUCUACCUUUUACAGAGGGAUAGCCCAGAGAAAUUUGGAUUAAUACCUCAUAGUAUAUAUCAUUCGCCUGUUUGAUAUAUUAAAGUUCUAACGGUAAAAGAUGAGCAUGCGUCCCAUUAGUUAGUUGGUAAGGUAACGGCUUACCAAGACGAUGAUGGGUAGGGGUCCUGAGAGGGAGAUCCCCCACACUGGUACUGAGACACGGACCAGACUCCUACGGGAGGCAGCAGUGAGGAAUAUUGGUUAAUGGACGCAAGUCUGAACCAGCCAUGCCGCGUGCAGGAAGACGGUCCUAUGGAUUGUAAACUGCUUUUGUACGGGAAGAAACACUCCUACGUGUAGGAGCCUGACGGUACCGUAAGAAUAAGGAUCGGCUAACUCUGUGCCAGCAGCCGCGGUAACAC
rnacentral:rRNA from 1 species